AAUGAACGUUGGCGGCAUGGAUUAGGCAUGCAAGUCGAGCGAGAAGUGUAGCAAUACAUGGAAAGCGGCGGAAGGGAGAGUAAUACGUGGGAAUCUGCCCUUAGACCUGGGAUAGCAGCGGGAAACUGCUGGUAAUACCAGAUAAUGUCUAUGGACCAAAGGUGUGAUUCCGUCCAGGGAUGAGCCCACGUCCUAUUAGCUAGUUGGUAGGGUAAUGGCCUACCAAGGCGAUGAUGGGUAGCGGGUGUGAGAGCAUGACCCGCCUCACUGGGACUGAGACACUGCCCAGACACCUACGGGUGGCUGCAGUCGAGAAUCUUCGGCAAUGGGCGCAAGCCUGACCGAGCGAUGCCGCGUGCGGGAUGAAGGCCUUCGGGUUGUAAACCGCUGUCGAGGGGGAGCAACUUCCAUAGAGUUAUCUUUAUGGAUUGAGUGAUCCCUGGAGGAAGGACGGGCUAAGUUCGUGCCAGCCGCCGCGGUAAGAC
rnacentral:rRNA from 1 species